UUUCGCAAUGCCCGAAAGGGUGACGAAGCGACGCCGCGUGCGGGAAGAAGGCCUUCGGGUUGUAAACCGCUGUCGGGAGUUAAGAAAUGUAAGGAUGUUAAUAGCAUCUUUGCUUGACUAAGGCUCCGGAGGAAGCCACGGCUAACUCUGUGCCAGCAGCCGCGGUAAUACAGAGGCGGCAAGCGUUGUUCGGAAUUAUUGGGCGUAAAGAGCACGUAGGCGGCUAUGUAAGUCGGUUGUGAAAGCCUUCCGCUCAACGGGAGAACAGCAUCCGAUACUGCAUGGCUUGAGUGCGGGAGGGGAGAGUGGAACUUCUGGUGGAGCGGUGAAAUGCGUAGAUAUCAGAAGGAACGCCGGCGGCAAAAGCGGCUCUCUGGCCCAUAACUGACGCUGAGUGUGCGAAAGCUAGGGGAGCAAACGGGAUUAGAUACCCCGGUAGCCCUAGCCGUAAACGAUGGGCACUAAGUAGAGGGGUUUUA
rnacentral:rRNA from 1 species